CUUUUCUUCCUUCUCUGUGUGACGAACCCGCGGCUAUUGGAAGGAAGCUUGAAUUUGUAACUUCCUCAUUUCUUGAUGAAAUCAAGUGAGGUAAAAAGCAAAGUUGCUUAGAAUUGGGAGACAAACACAACCCCUAAUCCAUAAUCUAUCAAAAAGCCUUGUAUUGAGAGAAAAAUAGAAGGAAAAGUGGCGCCCCUUUGUUGAUUGAAGGUCCAAGGAGGUGUUUUGAUCUCAUUUGAGGUUGAAAAUCCACUAAUUGGGUGAUUCUAGGUGCGCCUAAGAGUCUUGUUGAGGAUCCUACAUCAGAGGAGGCUUGGUAACUCGGUUGUUAGGAACACAGUUAAUUGAAGAGCCUCAUGGGACAAGGACACUAACCGUGGCUAGAGGUACUAGUAUGAGGAUGUGGUGUUCUGGGUGGCUGGAGGCUACUAUUUAUUUUAGACGUAUUUUUGGAAAAGAUGUAUUGUUGUAUAGUGUUCAUAUUCGAUGCAUGUACAUUUGUGUAUUCAGGCAUGUUGAUAUGACUAUGUAGUAUUCAGUUAUGUUAUGUAUUGGAUUGCAUGCUAUUAGAUUAG